rnacentral:tRNA from 1 species
UAGCUCAGUUGGUAGAGCAACGGACUGAAAAUCCGUGUGUCGGGAGUUCGAACCUCCCUCUGUCCA